AUUGAACGCUGGCGGCAUGCCUUACACAUGCAAGUCGAACGGCAGCACGGGAGCUUGCUCCUGGUGGCGAGUGGCGAACGGGUGAGUAAAGCAUCGGAACGUGCCCUGGAGUGGGGGGAUAACGUAGCGAAAGUUACGCUAAUACCGCAUAUUCUGUGAGCAGGAAAGCAGGGGAUCGCAAGACCUUGCGCUCUGGGAGCGGCCGAUGUCGGAUUAGCUAGUUGGUGGGUAAAGGCCUACCAAGGCGACGAUCCGUAGCGGGUCUGAGAGGAUGAUCCGCACACUGGGACUGAGACACGGCCCAGACUCCUACGGGAGGCAGCAGUGGGGAAUUUUGGACAAUGGGCGAAAGCCUGAUCCAGCCAUGCCGCGUGAGUGAAGAAGGCCUUC
rnacentral:rRNA from 1 species